rnacentral:lncRNA from 1 species
GCCCGAGCUCCAAGGAGGGGAAGGGACCCCGAAGAGCAAGCUGCCUCCCCUGUAUUUCACACCAAGAACAUGAGUUUCUCUUCCCCGUCCCCCGCCCCUUCUUCCUCAUUUUAUCUGCCGCAGUCCUACUUCUUCCCUGGUAAAAGCAUCAAGCAGGCUUGUUUCCUGUCUCAAUGUUAUUCUUGAACGGGGCUGCAGUCAGAAUCUGAUUUUCAUUGGGCUAUUAUUAUUUGCAGCUGUGUAACCUUUUUAACCCUGCUUUAAAAGUGACAUUUCAGCCCUCGAGCUCCGAACACUGGAAGGCUGCAGGAUUUUCAAAGGAGCGAUUGGCCAGCGCCAGGGAAGAGAAGGCAGAGGGGGGGAGGGGGGCAUCUCUGGGUGACUCUGGGCGGGCAUGAAUGGGGUCCGUGGCUACCGGCUGGCCGUCCCAGGUUGGAGUGUUCUCUCUACUCUUUUCUUUUCUUUUUUUGGAUAAACCAGUCAGACUUGGAAGAAAUCAUCAGGCGUAAAACGCACUAAUCCAGAACACGAAAACUCCGGUUCGUCGCUCUUUCUCGGCUCAGACCCUUCUACUCUCUCAUGCCGUUGGGCGAUAAAAAUGUUGGUCUUUAGGAAUCUAACAAAGACCCGGAAUGGCCAGAGUUACCAUCCAUUCCACAUCUCCAGGGGGAUGUUCCAUCCACCCAAGCCCAGAUUUUCUGGCUCAUUGCCAACACAAUGAAACUUUGUCCUUCCUCCCCCUCCUCCCACCAUUCCCUCCUCCCUGCUACUCCCUCUUCCUCCCUUUCUUUCCCCCUCAUCCUCCUCCAGGGGCUCUUCAGAUGUCACCCCUGUGCCCACAGCACAGAUCCACCCCCAGGCCUGAUGAUGGCGAUGGUGAUGACCACGGUUCUAAGGGCCAGACCAACACUGCCACUGGAAAACUCUGCUCUUGGUUGCCUGGUGGUUAGAGUACUCAGCCUGGAGUCAGGAAGACUCAUCUCCUGGAUCCAUCUUUCUGAAUUCAAAAAUCUAGCUCAGACAGUGACUAGCUGUGGGACCUUGGGUAGAUGCUGUUAUAACAGAGUACAGGAAAAGGAUGCUGAAGCCUAAAACCUGAGAUGAUUCACCCCAGGACCUAUGGGCAAUAAUCAUCAGAGGCAGAAUUCAGAUCCAGAUUCUCAGGCUCCAAAACCCAGUCAUCUUUAUACCACAAUGGCUGCUCUUCUUGCUCUUAUUGGAACUGCCAUGUCCAGUUUGCUCAGGUUGAAGCCAAGGUAACUCACUUGGGCUGCUGUCUACCUGUAUGACUUUGAGCAAGUCCCUUACCCUACCUGGACCUCAGUUUCUUCUCUACAAAAUGGCAAGGUCGGACUAAAUUGCUCCUGAAAUCCUCAUCAGUUUCCAGUCUGUGACCCAAUACCAUGAUGUAGCUCAUAAAUAAGCAUUAUGUAAUGAGUAACAUUAUUAGAGUGCUAUAAAGUUUGCAAAACAAUUUACAUGUUAUUUGAUGAUUUAAUAUGGAUUUAACCCGAACUAGAUUUGAAGCCAGGACCUCCCAUCUCUAGAUCUGGGUCUCUAUCCACUGAACCACCAAGCAAUUUUCAAAUACCAUCUCACUGGAUCAUCCAAUGACUGAAUACAGACCUCGUGGGACUCUGUUUCGCCAUCUAUAAAAUGAUGAGGGAGGAUGGGUUGGAAGAGAUGACCCAUAAGGUCUCUUUUAACGCAACACUAUAACCUUUUACAGGUUAUUUCCCUUUCUGGUCACCGAGGGUCUCACACACCAUGAUAAACCACUUGGAGCUGGCAGUCUGGCCCCUGCACACAGCCUCUCACUAGGUGAUCACUGCAAAGCACACUGGGAGAUGGGCAUCUGAGCCCUACCUCCCCAAUGCUUACAAAGAGCCCAGGAGCCAGCCUUUGGCCAUGGCAAACUGAAGGAACUCAAGGAGUCUAAACUGGGUGCCUUCAGUCAAGACCUUUGUCCCCGUCCACUGCAGAAGUGGAUUUCUCUCCUGGCUUCCCCAGGAAAGGGGCGAUUUUCUUGAGCUGGUAGGAAGUCACCUCAGUCUGGUUCCUUCCAAACCAUAUGCCCAUCCAGCCUGGCCUU